rnacentral:lncRNA from 1 species
GGCAUUGUUUAUUUCAUGAUGUGUUUGAACUGGGGUGUCCUUUCGCGCACUUUCCGCCCAAUAGUGUCCCAAAUAUGCUCGAUAUGGUUCAAAUCCGGGCUACGAUCGGGCCAAGGAAGAUGAAACUGAAUUCCAUUUGAACAUUGGAUCUUCCUCCACGAUGCUAAUUUCCAACUUUGGCGAGCUCUGCACUACAUUGGAUACGGAAAACUGUGUGUCUGUUCGUUAGCAAA